rnacentral:ncRNA from 2 species
AUCUGUUCUCAGGGCGGGGUGAAAAUCCCUACCGGCGGUAUGCGGCGUUGGCCGCGAGCCCGCGAGCGCCUUCCAGGGCAUCUGCUCGGAAGGGUCAGCAGAUCAGGUGUGACGCCUGAGCCGACGGUUACAGUCCGGAUGAAAGAGAACGAGC